rnacentral:rRNA from 1 species
AGCGAACGCUGGCGGCAGGCUUAACACAUGCAAGUCGAGCGGGCAUCCUUGUGGUGUCAGCGGCAGACGGGUGAGUAACGCGUGGGAACGUGCCCUUCGGUUCGGAAUAACUCAGGGAAACUUGAGCUAAUACCGGAUACGUGCGAGAGCAGAAAGGUUUAUCUGCCGAAGGAUCGGCCCGCGUCUGAUUAGCUAGUUGGUGAGGUUGUGGCUCACCAAGGCGACGAUCAGUAGCUGGUCUGAGAGGAUGAUCAGCCACACUGGGACUGAGACACGGCCCAGACUCCUACGGGAGGCAGCAGUGGGGAAUAUUGGACAAUGGGGGCAACCCUGAUCCAGCCAUGCCGCGUGAGUGAUGACGGCCUUAGGGUUGUAAAGCUCUUUUCUCCGGGACGAUAAUGACGGUACCGGAGGAAUAAGCCCCGGCUAACUUCGUG